CUAUAAGCUGCUUCCUGGCUUUCAUUGCACUUGAAAAAAAUGAGGUUUGGAAAAUUGCAACAUGCUUAAAAUUCCGUUAUACCUUCUGUCUGCAGAAAGCGCAAGAACACAGGCAAGUUUGUCAGAUUUGCUUAUGGAAGGAAGGGACAUCACUUCCUCUACAGAAGGCCUGUGUGGUUGGAGAGGGCAGGACUGUUGGACAACUGUUCUCCUAAUCUUCAACAACAACCUAAAUACUGUGGAAUCCUCCAAAACACAAGAGGAAAGGGUUUGGGGAAACUGUCCAGUAGGAAGGACCUAGGAGGAGCUGUGCUACCAACAGGACAGAAGGGAACAAAGAAGCCAAGAGCCAGCAUGAAGUUUUUGUUGGGACUAGAAGGGAAAAUGCCAAAAUAUCCUUUGAGAGCCUAUUCUUGCAAGACACAUCAGAGAUCUCAUUAGGAAGCCUGUUCUUGUAAUACUCCUAGCCAAGUUUUGCAGUGUCUGUAAAUCUGAACGAUUUCAGAAUGGUCCUUUCAUCAAUACCUGCAGGGUCAGAUUUCCAAGCAUUUACUCACAAUGACUAAUAGUGGACACCAAUGGAACUUCUUGAGGAGAAAGUGACUAUUCAAUGAGAGUAAAGAUACCAGAACCUUCCUGUACUAAUUCCAUUCUAAUAACUACUUAAAAGGAGUUCUGUAAAAAGAAAAACAUAUAUUACAUGUCAUUUUAAUACAUCAAAAAUUACCAAAUAAUGUUACCGUUUGCUAUCAAGCUGGUGAAAGCUUAUCCUGCAUCAAGAAAACGGUGUGUGCUAUAUCUUUUUCCAAACUCGGGAGGAUUUGAAUAGUAUAGGUUAAGUCCACAUUAGUAGGAUUAUUUGAUUAAUGAGAUUUGUUUUCUAAUGAUAAUCCAAAAAGAGAGAACAAAAAAGGAGGUGGGGAGAGCGAUCCUAAUAAUUACAAAUAACCCCUUAGACUCCGCCUGAAAAGCAAUAGGCAAUCAUUGCAUAUAUGUAUUGGAGCGUGGUACAAUACAUUACCAGGGAAGCUACCUGACAAAUGGUAUUCUCAUAAUAAGGAAAUUUCUAGUUUCUGUAUGCGGAAAGUAUUAGGGACUUGACUGAGAUCUCCACAUAUGUGGAGGUGGAACAGUGUGUAAGUUAAAGAGAUGUUAUAGCUGUGAUAGUCCAGGAAAUAGGUGAGAGGCAAGGAUUUUUGUGGGGAUAUAUUUUAUUGGAUCCCAGCUAUGCAAUGUUGUCAAUUAAAGGUAUCACCCACAAAAAUCCUCACCCCUCACAUAAGAUAAAGAGAGUUACACAGUGUAAAUUUAGCCCAUUUUAUACAUUUCCUGAUCCUGGGCAAGUUAGACUCCACUGCACAUUGUUCAAAUGUAUGGUAACUCUGAAGUGAGCCAGAGAGAGUUGAGUUAGUAUGAGUGGGUCUAACUAAAGGUGACAUUCUAGUUAGAGCCAGUCAUAAAAAUUCUGACAAAACAUAAAUUGCUCAAAAUAUUCCAGUUUGUUAGUAUAUAAACCUGUUGGAGGGAUGAUUCAAUGUCAGCAGUGUUCCUCCAGAUACCAGGCAAGCUUCUUGGUUUCAUGCCAGUAUGCAAGCCCAGUUCCUUGACAGCCUAGGCUUCCAUGGUCCAGAGCCCUAGAUCAGCCCAUUCAGGCACUGUCCCACAGCUAGGGAUAGUAGGCCAACAAUGGUCCUCAGCUCCAAAGUUCUGCUCUAGUCUCCUUUUAUAAAGUACAUAUUUUCUCAAAUCAUAAAUAUUUCUCUUAAAAGGAUACUGAAAUGAAUAUAAUAUGACUUCUUAGUACAGGGGCUUCUGAUGUCAGCCAUUCUGUGUUUAAACUAUUUCAUUUUCAACAGAAUUAAAGAUCUACACAGUAUAUUCUACCUCCUGCAGCCUGCAGUUGUUAAAAGAAAAUAAAUCACUUAAACAGGGUCACAAGCAACAAAGGCCAAAAUGGGUUCAAAGUUUACAGGUCUCCACAUUUAUCAGGUAGAAAUAUGCCACAUUUCACUAUUUCAUAAAAUAUCCUUUUAUGAAAAAAACAUCAAUCUUUGUAUGUCCUGUUAAAACUCUGAUUUCUCAAAUGAAAGAAAUGAAUGAUGACACUGAAUCAAGAAAUCGUUUAUUAGUUUAUAUUUUUGCAGGACCACCAGGACUUUCACAUACGUUUUCAAUUUCUAUAAGGAUGUGAUUAUCGUGUGGGUAAGUUUUACUCCCACUGCCUGUGCUAAGGGAUCUGUCAGAAUUGUGUACCCUUUUGUUGGGCAGAUCAGGAUCUGCCUUUUUUAUCUCCUGUGCUAAAUACCAUUCAGAGGUAGAUGUCCAACUUUUUAAAAUGUGUCUAAAAUUUUAAUUUUAAGUAUAUUUGUGUAAGUUGUAUAUAGUUAAAUGUGCAAGUGUUAAUAUUUGUUCAAAUGUAAUGCAAAUCAGUUUAUACAGUUUCUCUGCAAGAUUUCUUAGAGUGUUAAAUGUUCACCUUUUUAAUCUACUGUUGAAGACUUUUCAUUCUGACUUGCAUUAUGAGAGGAUCUAUGCACAAAUUAAAACAGUUUUACAAUAGUAAUUGUACCAAUGCUUCUUUUGUUGUAAUACCAGGAUUCAUUGUUUUUAGGACACGGAUAACAUCUGACAUUUCUGUUUGUUUCUGGUAUAGAGAGUGGCCACCAGUUGAAUAACUAGCAUAUUGAACAACAGUGAGGCAAGGAAAUUUAGAUAAAGAUAUCAGUGUAAUCAAUAUGUAUGAUGAAAAAUGCAUGGGCUAUAUCUCAAGUCCACACAGAGAAAACGAGAUUUUAGGGUUUUAACAUCCUGUCUGAAAGCAGAGGCACAUUCAUAUAGUUUUCUCUCUAUCCCCCGAAUAAGUAGAGAAAGGUGAGAAUGUGCAGAGAAUCAAAUCUGUGUUUCCAAGGAGUAACUUGAUGCUUUGACCUUUAAGCCACUCUUCUGGCAAACUCAGUAUAAUCCCAUCUUUUUGGGCCAUUGGAGUGAAAUGAACCUGUGGUUGAGAGAGUUUUGUGCAACUCGUUUUUGUUUAUAGACUUGUUUUAAUUUUUGAUUAGCCUGACUGUACAUAUGAUUUCUUCCUGUUGAGUCAUUCCAUGAGUUUAUAUGGUCUCCUCUUGAACUUAUCUGAUUUUUGAGCAGGCUUUUACAUUUGGUUUACUACAGAGUUCAGUAAAAAAAAAAUUAAAGCAGCCAACACACACAAACCCAUAUCAGAAUAAAACAUACAUUCUUGUAGUUCUUGAAUUGUUUGGAAGUUGGUAAUUUUUUUUUUUGUUCAGAAAAUUAAUAUAGUUUUCUCUGGUUCAUGUAGGAACCACUUUUUGGCAAAGCCUUUGGUAAUGUCCUUUAUGAUAAUGAGCAUAAAAAAAUCCUGUCAUACUUCCUUAGGAACUGAAAAGUUAUCUUGACUUACAGUCAAAGUGUAUACUGUCUAAAUGUUUCUUCAUUUCUCUCAGCUCUCUGCUUUCUCUCCCAAGGGACAAAAAGGUUAGAAAAGAAAGAAGGGUAGUAGUGAUUUUUGCAGAGGGAGAGCCAAGUCACGCACAGAGCAGCAGUAUUUAAUAUGGAGCAAGCAUUAUAAGAAUGCAACCCUCACUGCAUUGUAACUAGUAUGUCACUUCCUUGCAGUUUUUAUGUAGUUUCAGGGACUUGCACAGUAAUUUAAGAAGCUUACUCUUCUAUGAGUAUGCUAUGAAAUAUAUCUUGUGACACUACUGAAGACUCUGGAAAACCUUACAAACGAAAGGAGACAUAAACAACUUUCAAUGGGUACGAUACAUUACAAGCCAAACAUCUUCCCAAAAUAAAAUCUAUCUUGUCUGAGUAGACUACAAGAAGAAUAAAACUUACUAUUCUUUUGGCAGUGAGCAAACAUUGCUGAUGGAUAAAGUAAAGGAGCUAAGAAGUUCUGCCUUUAAUUUUUCUAAGACACUUGAGAAGCACUGCAGACAUCUCAAAUUUGCUGGAAUUUUGCUUCAUUUGCAUCUCAAAGUGCUCUGAAAAAAUGUGCAGAGUUCCAUAAGAGCUCCAUCAAAUCUUACAAAUGAUCCCAUAAGAACCUGCAAGUUGAAUCAUAGGAUUCUAGCAUUUUUUGCCUUUAGCUGUAGGUAUUGUACUGUGAGGCAGUUCUUUUUAAUGGUAUUUCUAAUAUUUACAAAUAGCUGAACCACAGAUCAAAACUAUCAAAAUUAGCUAGCAGAGUUUGAGCACCGUUGUUUAAUUGCAACGUUACUUAUUACUUAAUGUAAGACAGUAAGGGAAGAGACAGGUAAGCUCUAAGACUUCAGAUGAUGAAGAAGACCGUUUUCAUUCUAAAAAAACUACGUUUCCUAGAAGAAGCCUACCCUUUCCAUAUUAGUCAUUUUAGAGCCUACAGAAAUCUUGUUAAAUCCCUGAUCUAUGAUGAUAUUUUUCGUAUGGGUCAGACAGUCAAAUUCUACUAUCGUUGCUUUCUCAAUUACAACAGAGUCUGAGCUUGACUUUGAAGAUGAAAUCUCCAGAGGAAAUGUUAUCAAUGUGUUUUGCAGAACAGUUUUGGAAGACCUCUCAACAUGAUGCCUUAAAAAUACAAGGCUGUGUCAUACCAGAUGUCUUAUCUAGUCUGGUAUGCUGUCUCCAACAGUAGCUGUUAACAGAUUAUUUGGUGGAAGAUGAUUGGAACUUAAGAACUGGCUGUCAGGGAUCAAGCUGCCAAAUGGAGAAGUUUCUUCCUAAUGCUCUACAAAUCAUGAUUUGUUUUAUGCCACAAAGCAUGAGUGUUCCUUCCUUUUAAAAAUAUUCUAUCUAAUGAAACCAGGCAUGUGUUUACACUCAACGUAACUGUCUAACCAUCUUUUGAAUCUUAUUAAAGCAAUGAGUUCUACAAAUUAGUUAUAUGUUGUAGAAACACACUUACAUUCGUUGUCUUUCAGUUUCAUUAGAUGUUCUGUUGUUCACGUAAUACAACAGAGAAUAAAUGGGAGAGCCUGACUUCUCUGUCUGUGGUUUUAUAAACACCUGGUAAAUCUUUAUUUAUUUAUUCUUGAUUAGAGAUGACUUUAUCUUUUCAAUGCCUCUUCAUACUCCACACACUGCUGGUCAUUUACUUUUAGGAGCUUACUCUCCUCAGGAGAGAAAGUUUCAGAGUGGUUGGUUUUGAAAAAGGUAAUGAAAAAUACAGUCUUCCAUAGGGGGAGAGUCUUGCCUCUAAAGCCCUGGGCAAUCAGAACCUGACAGGCAGAAGUUCUACUAUGCUUUCUGCUAUGAACUUUUAUAAAACUGGGUUAGGACUUUAUUUGUCUCUGCCUUGGUCACCCUAGCUGUGAAAGGGGGAUAAUAUUUUCCUAGAUCACAAAGCAUGUGCGAAUUGAAAUUCAUGUUUGUGAAAUAAUAUAAGACACUUGUCUAACAGGUAACACAGAAGUGCAGAUGAUGAAGUUAUUAGUUUUGGUCCUGUUUUCAAAGAUAUAAAAUGUGCUACUGGCAAGAAACAUUUUCUUUAAAAGGACUCAAACAUUAGCAAACUUUUUUCCAUGUCUUCAAGUUGAGAACUUCCCCUCUUAGCUAGAGAAAAGAGGAGCUGUUAAGAAAACAGUUAAGAAAUGGAUUAAUUGGUAAGUAUAUUAUUGAUUUGUAUAUUUUAAUAUUUUCCUUCUUAUACUCUGGAAUAAUUUAUUGUCGAAAACAGUAGUUCUUCAGAACUGAGGCAGUCCUUCUUCUGUAAGCUAAAGGUUCAAGGGUCUGCCGUUUCUACUAUUUUUUCUUAUUAUUACUCAUAAUAUGUUUUGGUGAUUUUGCUUAAGAAAUGUCUUCAUAGAACCAGAUGCAUAUAUCAUUGUUGGAAAGGUGAUAUUUAAAAUAUCAAGGUGCUACAGGGAAUCCUUCCUGGCUAAAUAUAAACCAAUUCUAAAUUACUUUUUUUUUUUUUUUUU